rnacentral:rRNA from 1 species
UACGCAGGGGGCUAGCGUUGCUCGGAAUCACUGGGCGUAAAGCGCACGUAGGCGGAUCUUUAAGUCAGAGGUGAAAUCCCAAGGCUCAACCUUGGAACUGCCUUUGAUACUGGGGAUCUCGAGUCCGGAAGAGGUUGGUGGAACUGCGAGUGUAGAGGUGAAAUUCGUAGAUAUUCGCAAGAACACCAGUGGCGAAGGCGGCCAACUGGUCCGGUACUGACGCUGAGGUGCGAAAGCUAGGGGAGCAAACGGG